rnacentral:rRNA from 1 species
AUGAACGCUAGCUACAGGCUUAACACAUGCAAGUCGAGGGGAAACGAUAUUGGAAGCUUGCUUCCGAUAGGCGUCGACCGGCGCACGGGUGAGUAACGCGUAUCCAACCUGCCCAUCACUUGGGGAUAACCUUGCGAAAGUAAGACUAAUACCCAAUGACGUCUCUAGAAGACAUCUGAAAGAGAUUAAAGAUUUAUCGGUGAUGGAUGGGGAUGCGUCUGAUUAGCUUGUUGGCGGGGUAACGGCCCACCAAGGCGACGAUCAGUAGGGGUUCUGAGAGGAAGGUCCCCCACAUUGGAACUGAGACACGGUCCAAACUCCUACGGGAGGCAGCAGUGAGGAAUAUUGGUCAAUGGGCGAGAGCCUGAACCAGCCAAGUAGCGUGCAGGAAGACGGCCCUAUGGGUUGUAAACUGCUUUUAUAAGGGAAUAAAGUGAGUCUCGUGAGACUUUUUGCAUGUACCUUAUGAAUAAGGACCGGCUAAUUCCGUGCCAGCAGCCGCGGUAAUACGGAAGGUCCGGGCGUUAUCCGGAUUUAUUGGGUUUAAAGGGAGCGUAGGCCGGAGAUUAAGCGUGUUGUGAAAUGUAGACGCUCAACGUCUGCACUGCAGCGCGAACUGGUUUCCUUGAGUACGCACAAAGUGGGCGGAAUUCGUGGUGUAGCGGUGAAAUGCUUAGAUAUCACGAAGAACUCCGAUUGCGAAGGCAGCUCACUGGAGCGCAACUGACGCUGAAGCUCGAAAGUGCGGGUAUCGAACAGGAUUAGAUACCCUGGUAGUCCGCACGGUAAACGAUGGAUGCCCGCUGUUGGUCUGAAUAGGUCAGCGGCCAAGCGAAAGCAUUAAGCAUCCCACCUGGGGAGUACGCCGGCAACGGUGAAACUCAAAGGAAUUGACGGGGGCCCGCACAAGCGGUGGAGCAUGUGGUUUAAUUCGAAGCAACGCGAAGAACCUUACCAGGUCUUGACAUUGAUCGCCAUUCCAAGAAAUUGGAAGUUCUCCUUCGGGAGACGAGAAAACAGGUGGUGCACGGCUGUCGUCAGCUCGUGUCGUGAGAUGUUGGGUUAAGUCCCGCAACGAGCGCAACCCCUCUCCUUAGUUGCCAUCAGGUGAAGCUGGGCACUCUGGGGACACUGCCACCGUAAGGUGUGAGGAAGGUGGGGAUGACGUCAAAUCAGCACGGCCCUUACGUCCGGGGCUACACACGUGUUACAAUGGCAGGUACAGAGAGACGGUUGUACGCAAGUACGAUCAAAUCCUUAAAGCCUGUCUCAGUUCGGACUGGGGUCUGCAACCCGACCCCACGAAGCUGGAUUCGCUAGUAAUCGCGCAUCAGCCAUGGCGCGGUGAAUACGUUCCCGGGCCUUGUACACACCGCCCGUCAAGCCAUGAAAGCCGGGGGCGCCUAAAGUCCGUGACCGUAAGGAGCGGCCUAGGGCGAAACUGGUAAUUGGGGCU